CUUAUUAAUCUUUUCAAUGGUUUGAUUUUUUUAAUAAGAUAAUCGGGAAGUUGGUGCGUUUUCAUGAUGACUACAAUCCCAACACUGCCCCCGCAACGGUAAAGUAGUACAUAAAGCUAUGUAUUUACUGAGUCCGGAGACCGGCCUUGAUGUAAUCUUACUU
rnacentral:ncRNA from 2 species